UCCCUGGUGGUCCAGUGGUUAGGACACUGUGCUCUCAUUGCCAAGGGCCCUGGUUCAAUCCCUGGUCGAGGAA
rnacentral:tRNA from 1 species